CACAGUUUUGGUCCUAAACUUAAUGCUAUUUUUAAUUAAAAUUACACAUGCAAGCAUCCGCACGCCAGUGAAAACGCCCUCAACAACAUUAACGGAGCAGAUAUCAGGCACGAACACAUCAGCCCAAAACAUCUAGCCCUGCCACACCCACACGGGUAAUCAGCAGUGAUAAAUAUUAAGCAAUGAGCGAUUAAACCCUAACCUGCCCCAAAGCUCGACUUAGUUAUAAUUAAACAGGGCCGGUCAACCUCGUGCCAGCCACCGCGGUUAUACGAGGGGCCCAAAAUAGCAACUACCGGCGUAAAUCGUGACCAGAAUAACUUUUAAACCCCCAAGAGAUAAACCACGGCCUAACUGUAAAACACAGACCAAAAGAACCCCCCCCUCUUGAUUCCAAAAAAUUUGAUCUCACGAAAACUAAGAAACAAACUAGGAUUAGAUACCCUACUAUGCUUAGACGUUAACAUGACACCCCCCCCCACACCGGUGUUCGCCAGAGAACUACUAGCGAAAAGCUUAAAACUCAAAGGACUUGGCGGUGCUCCACUACCAACUUAGAGGAGCCUGUCCUAUAAUCGAUAAUCCACGAUAGACCUUACCAUUUUUUGCCACAUCAGCCUAUAUACCGCCGUCGCCAACUUACCCCAUGAGGGCCCAAAAGUAAGUACAAUAGUAUAGCAACUAAAACGUCAGGUCAAGGUGUAGCUAAUAAAAUGGAAGAGAUGGGCUACAUUUUUUAACAUAAAACAUACGGCAAAGUACCGUGAAACCGGCACUAGAAGGUGGAUUUAACAGUAAGAUAAGCAAGAAAGCCUAUCUUAAACCCGCUCUGGAGCGCGCACACACCGCCCGUCACCCUCCUCAACUAAAACACCCCCGUACAUAACACCAACCACACCAAAAGAUGAGGCAAGUCGUAACAUGGUAAGCGCACUGGAAAGUGCGCUUGGAACA
rnacentral:ncRNA from 1 species